GAUGAACGCUAGCGGCAGGCCUAACACAUGCAAGUCGAGGGGUAGAACACUUCGGUGUUUGAGACCGGCGCACGGGUGCGUAACGCGUAUGCAAUCUACCUUGUACAGGGGAAUAGCCCAGAGAAAUUUGGAUUAAUGCCCUAUAGUAUAUAACCUUCGCAUGUUGGUUAUAUUAAAGUUCCAACGGUACAAGAUGGGCAUGCGUCCCAUUAGUUAGUUGGUAAGGUAACGGCUUACCAAGACGAUGAUGGGUAGGGGUCCUGAGAGGGAGAUCCCCCACACUGGUACGGAGACACGGACCAGACGCCUACGGGAGGCAGCAGUGAGGAAUAUUGGUCAAUGGGCGCAAGCCUGAACCAGCCAUGCCGCGUGCAGGAAGACGGUCCUAUGGAUUGUAAACUGCUUUUAUACAGGAAGAAACCCUCCCACGUGUGGGAGAUUGACGGUACUGUAGGAAUAAGGAUCGGCUAACUCCGUGCCAGCCGCCGCUGUAAAAC
rnacentral:rRNA from 1 species